rnacentral:rRNA from 1 species
AUUGAACGCUGGCGGCAGGCCUAACACAUGCAAGUCGAGCGGAUGAGUGGAGCUUGCUCCAUGAUUCAGCGGCGGACGGGUGAGUAAUGCCUAGGAAUCUGCCUGGUAGUGGGGGACAACGUUUCGAAAGGAACGCUAAUACCGCAUACGUCCUACGGGAGAAAGUGGGGGAUCUUCGGACCUCACGCUAUCAGAUGAGCCUAGGUCGGAUUAGCUAGUUGGUGAGGUAAAGGCUCACCAAGGCGACGAUCCGUAACUGGUCUGAGAGGAUGAGCAGUCACACUGGAACUGAGACACGGUCCAGACUCCUACGGGAGGCAGCAGUGGGGAAUAUUGGACAAUGGGCGAAAGCCUGAUCCAGCCAUGCCGCGUGUGUGAAGAAGGUCUUCGGAUUGUAAAGCACUUUAAGUUGGGAGGAAGGGUUGUAGAUUAAUACUCUGCAAUUUUGACGUUACCAACAGAAUAAGCACCGGCUAACUUCGUGCCAGCCGCCGCCGUAACAC